UACGUAGGGAGCAAGCGUUGUCCGGAUUUACUGGGUGUAAAGGGUGCGUAGGCGGCUAGGCAAGUCAGACGUGAAAACCAUGGGCUCAACCUGUGGACUGCGUUUGAAACUGUUUAGCUUGAGUGAAGUAGAGGUAGGCGGAAUUCCCGGUGUAGCGGUGAAAUGCGUAGAGAUCGGGAGGAACACCAGUGGCGAAGGCGGCCUACUGGGCUUUAACUGACGCUGAGGCACGAAAGCAUGGGUAGCAAAC
rnacentral:rRNA from 1 species